rnacentral:rRNA from 1 species
AUUGAACGCUGGCGGCAGGCCUAACACAUGCAAGUCAAGCGAGCGGCGGACGGGUGCGUAAUGUCUGGGAAACUGCCUGAUGGAGGGGGAUAACUACUGGAAAAGGUAGCUAAUACCGCAUACCAUCAGAUGGGCCCAGAUGGGAUUAGCUAGUGGGUGGGGUAAUGGCUAACCUAGGCGACGAUCCAUAGCUGGUCUGAGAGGAUGACCAGCCACACUGGAACUGAGACACGGUCCAGACUCCUACGGGAGGCAGCAGUGGGGAAUAUUGCACAAUGGGCGCAAGUCUGAUGCAGCCAUGCCGCGUGUGUGAAGAAGGCCUUCGGGUUGUAAAGCACUUUCAUUGGGGAAGCGUUACCCGAAGAAGAAGCACCGGCUAACUCCGUGCCAGCAGCCGCGGUAAUUC